UCCCUGGUGGUCCAGUGGAUAGGACUCUGCAUUCUCACUGCGGUGUCCUGGGUUCAAUCCCUGGUCGGGGAA